rnacentral:ncRNA from 2 species
ACGGGAAGCCGGUGAGACUCCGGCACAGGACCCGCUGCGGUGACCGAGGAUGCCGACGACGCGUGGCGCGAGAGCGCCGGCCACUGGGACGACCCGGGAAGGCGCGCCGCCGGGCUCGGAAGUCCGAAGACCG